rnacentral:rRNA from 1 species
GAAGGAAGAAGAUCUAAGAAUGCUUCUUUAAGAAGCUUUCUUGAUGGAGGGGAGUGGCAGACGGGUGAGUAACGCGUGGGAACAUACCCUUUUCUACGGAAUAGCUCUGGGAAACUGGAAUUAAUACCGUAUACGCCCUACGGGGGAAAGAUUUAUCGGGGAAGGAUUGGCCCGCGUUGGAUUAGCUAGUUGGUGGGGUAAAGGCCUACCAAGGCGACGAUCCAUAGCUGGUCUGAGAGGAUGAUCAGCCACAUUGGGACUGGGACACGGCCCAAACUCCUACGGGAGGCAGCAGUGGGGAAUAUUGAACAAUGGGCGCAAGCCUGAUCCAGCCAUGCCGCGUGAGUGAUGAAGGCCUUAGGGUUGUAAAGCUCUUUCACCGAUGAAGAUAAUGACGGUAGUCGGAGGAGAAGCCCCGGCUAGCUCCGUGCCAGCAGCCGCCGUAA